UAUUAUAGUGUGUGUAAAUGGAAAUACUUGAGUAGUAAUUGUUAUUAUCUUGAAACUCAAAGAAUUUGGCGGUUUUUUAGUCCUUUCAGAGGAAUCUGUUCUGUAAUUGAUAAUACACGAUUUUCUUUACUUUCUCUUGGAUUUCAGUUUGUAUAUCGCCGUCAUAAGAUUAUCUUUGGAGAGAUAAAAAUUUCUUUAAGUUGUAAUAGAGGGUAUGUCAGGUCAAGGUGCAGCUAAUGGGGGAGAAUGAAAUGGAUUACAAUAAUAAUAGUUAAAUGGAUGGUGCUGGAGGUAUGUGCUGGAAAGUGGAUUUGAUUGUAAAGUUGCUAUAGAAUAGUAUAUUGAUUUGGGCUCUAGAAUGUGCACAUAUCGCCCGUCGCUCUCGUUAUAAUAUGAG
rnacentral:rRNA from 1 species